CUCCAAUCUGAUUGUGGUGGAAGCAGGACACUCAGUCAGCCACACAGAUAAAGCCCUGAUUGGAUGAAUGCGCCUCCGUUGAGAAAAACCUUUUCUCAAGUUUGCUUUUGGAAACUUUAUGAUUCAAAUUUGACUAACGUGCAGUAACGUCCGGUUGGGGUUGGCCAUCGGCCGCACACUCCAAACUGACAGGUUGGCCCAGCACAGCAAUGUAUUCCACAUGGGGCACACUCAGCACGGGUGGAACUGAGGACACACAAGGGUAAUGGACGGCCUAGGAAAUCCUUGAACCUCACAGGGUAAGAUGGUCCCAUGAUGUAACACCACUUGGACUUCCUCUGGCAUGGGUCUGAUUUCUGGGGACUCUGUCGGAUCAAGGUAAAGUGAAAUUAUUUAACUAGGGCCAGGCAACGAUCGUCACGAUUAAUCGCAUGAGGUCUUUGUGAUUAAACACAAUUAAUCGCAAUAUACGCAUAUUCCCCCAAAAUUGAAAUGUAGUGUAGAGCACACUUUUUAUUUUAAUGUAUUGUCAUAUAAAUAAAAAUGCCAUAAUAUUUGCAGGGCUAACACUUGUGACAUUUUCAUACACUAGCAGUUUACUAUAAUAUUCACUAUGAAUCUCAAUUUAAAGCAUGUAACCAAAGCAAACCAAAGCCUUUUGUUUAAUGAAAUCUUUCUAUUAAAAAAUAUAUAAUAAUAAUAAUGCCAACACAAUUAUGACAUUAUUGUAUUAUAUCUGAUCGCCAGACUGCCACUAUAUUUAGUUUUCUGGUUCCAGUGAGUGCUGGAGCUGUAAGCAACAGAUUUUCAUAAUAAAUAAUAUGAACAGUGUUAAUGCGUGAUAAAAUAAUUCUUUCCAUUAAUAGAUUAGUAAAUUACUGUGAAAAUAUUGUAUUAACUUGCCCAGCCCUAGUUUCAACUUUGCUUUUUAAAUAAAAUACAGUCAUGUCGUGUACCUUGAUGCUAGCAAAUGGAAACAAACCUUGCAC